rnacentral:lncRNA from 1 species
CUACACAUAAUGGUGAUAAUUAUAUAUUUCAAAUGAACAAAAAGCAAGAGAAUAUACUCACACAAGGAAGAAUCAUAUAUUAGAUAAAAUUGUUGGAUUACAGUAGUGGAUAUUACACGAGGAACAUCAUCCAAAUGUGAUGCAUACUCUAAAUAUUUUCGUGACUACAAAACUCAAACCAAAAGCGUCCAUCAACAUCCCUGCAACUUAACUAAAACUUAACCGAGGAACAUCAUCCCUACAACUAAAUUAAAACUGAAAGCAUCCAACAUCAUCAUCAUCAUGAACAGGGACAUCAUCAUCAUCACCACCACCACCACCACCACCACCAUCAGUAUACUUGCCACACACCCAUAUAAUCAUCCAUUUGUCUUUUGAAUCUACGAACAAAAACCAAAAUGAACUGUUAAUACACAAUGCAUUGACAUGAUUAAUGUAGUGAUAGAUGAAGGAUGUUAGUCACAUACAAAGGUUGGAGGCCAUGCAAUCUUUUUUUUCUGCAUUACCAAAGAGUAGCAAUUUUUGCAACUUCGCACCAAAUCUUAAGUUUUCGAAAGAUCCAUAUCGGGAUGCACUGCCCAGAAUUCAUUUGAAAGUUAAGCACCAUCAAGUUUAAAUUUAGGAUCUCAACUUACAACUGUAGGAAGAGCUACGUUUCCAUUUUGAUUUUCAGGCUCUUCAAGAGUACUUUAGUUCCUGCCUGUUAGAAAAACUCAAAGUCAUCAUGGGAUCAAAAUGAAAGAACUCGUAAAGGAAUUACAAGAGCUUCAUAAAUGCUAUUAUAGUCCCUCCAUAUGGAAAAUGAAAGGAGAAUACUCCUAAGCAAGGCUGCUGAAACUACACAUCAAAAUUCUAUUUGUACAUCGAUCAAACACCAACAUAUUGGAAACAUAACAUUAUUUAAAAAAAUCAAAUAACUUUUUGUGGUAAUGUAAUAGAACGUGUAAUACAUUUUGAAAAUCUCGCAACUGGUCAUUCUAUGUCAUGGAUUCAGAAGAAGAAAAAAAUUGACACUAUGGGACGAUAAAACUGGAAACUCCAAAUAAAAUACUCCAAGGAAUAUUUAGAUGUGACCAUAUAUCUAUGUUUCUGUAGAAGAGGUGUUUUGGCUCCUGUAUAUGGGAUGAACACAUAAAAGGAAGCAUUUAUUUUGUUUUGCUGAUAUACAACAAAUCCAUUGAAAUGCUCUACAGAUAACACAAAGGAGAUGACUGGUUUUCCUUUUAGAUAACAGAAAAGAAGUGGCUGGUUUUUCCUUCUGGUCUAUAUCAUUUUUACACUACAUAAUGUAAGGCAGACAACCAUGCAUAUGUACACUAUAUAAUGCUAGUAAUAAGAAAUUGUCCUAGAAAUAAAAUCUACAGUCCAGUACGUACGUGUAUAAAAUAGAACUGUAUGAAUCCAAUAACUACACACCUGGAGACACAGGAUGCAGCCAAAGCAUUGAUGAGAAGCACAUUCAGCCACUAUACGUCUAUGUUGGGGGCUCACAACUUGAUCCUCUUCAUCGCCUGGCCUUUCGCCAGGUAAUUUGUAAUGAUGUGUUCAGUGAGCUUCCUUUGUUUGGUAUAGACCUUUUCCUAUUAUGUGAAAAGGAAGCGUAGCGGUAAAGAGGUUACACGCUUUUAACAUGAAUCAGAAGCAUACAGCAUGAGUCUUUCCUUUAGUAUAUAUUCCAAUAUAUGAGAAUGGAGAUACAUGUAUGCAAGGCCAUAUUUUGUACUUAACAAGAUUAAUAGAGACUGAGGGGCUGUUUGGUUUAGGCUAGCACCGGCCAUGCCAAUCGAGGACUUGCCAAAAAAUUGGCAUAGGAUUUGCCAACCCACGCCUUGCCAAAAAGUUGGUUGGAAAUUGAAUUGUGGUUGCUACGGAGGUGUGGGCGUACCAAUUAAUUGGCCUCCAUCCAAAUGAGCACCUGGGUUGGGUCAACGACCAAUAUUUUGGCCUGGCGUCCCAUGGCAAUGAUCCAAACAGCCCCUGAACUUAUCUGCUCACAAUGCAUGCCUAGUAACUACAUGUGUACGUAUAACAUAUAUAUGACAACAUACAAUUUAGUAUCAUGGAUUUAGUCAACGAAUUACAAAAAUUAGAUCUUAGUUGCAUAACAGCUCUUCAUAAGCAAGUUCUAGCUCCAUACACCAUAUGCAUGAACUUUUAAAAAUAAGCAACAAAUAUGUUCUUAAUUAUUUGGUACAUCUAUUUAACAAAAGAACGACAUUAAAACAAACCAAGCAGAAAAAAAAUAUGAGGAAAGAGGAACUUAGCAUCAUUUUUUGAUCUCACGUGUAUUUUUAAUUAAAUACUGCUACGGUGCCACCUUGACCUCCUGAUGCAUAUACCUCCAGGUCUUCAACAACACUAUCCAGAAAUUCCAUUUGAACAUAGUAGUUUGUGCUUUUAAGAUGUGGAUCAGUGGGUGAGCAAAAAAUUGAAGGAACAGAUCCAAGUAAGCAAACCCGUACCUUUGGCAUGUAAGGAACAUAGAGAAGUG